rnacentral:rRNA from 1 species
GACGAACGCUGGCGGCGUGCUUAACACAUGCAAGUCGAACGGAAAGGCCCUGCUGUUGUGGGGUGCUCGAGUGGCGAACGGGUGAGUAACACGUGAGUAACCUGCCCUUGACUUUGGGAUAACUUCAGGAAACUGGGGCUAAUACCGGAUAGGAGCUCCUGCUGCAUGGUGGGGGUUGGAAAGUUUCGGCGGUUGGGGAUGGACUCGCGGCUUAUCAGCUUGUUGGUGGGGUAGUGGCUUACCAAGGCUUUGACGGGUAGCCGGCCUGAGAGGGUGACCGGCCACAUUGGGACUGAGAUACGGCCCAGACUCCUACGGGAGGCAGCAGUGGGGAAUAUUGCACAAUGGGCGGUAGCCUGAUGCAGCAACGCCGCGUGCGGGAUGACGGCCUUCGGGUUGUAAACCGCUUUCGCCUGUGACGAAGCGUGAGUGACGGUAAUGGGUAAAGAAGCACCGGCUAACUACGUG